CCAAUAGCGUAUAUUAAAGUUGUUGCAGUUAACAAGCUCGUAGUUGAAUUUCGGGACCAAUAUGUCGGUCGUGCCUCGGUACGUACUGGUGUCAUUGGUUUCUCCCUUCUGAGGAUCCUUGAUGUCAUUAAUUUGGUGUCUUGGGGAAUCAGGACUGUUACCUUGAAAAAAUUAGAGAGUUUAAAGCAGGCAUACGCUUGAAUACAUCAGCAUGGAAUAAUGAAAUAGGACGUUCGAUUCUAUUUUGUUGGUUUCUAGGAUCGCAGUAAUGAUGAAUAGGGAUGGUUGGGGGCAUUAGUAUUCAAUUGUCAGAGGUGAAAUUCUUGGAUUUAUUGAAGACUAACUACUGCGAAAGCAUUUGCCAAGGAUGUUUUCAUUAAUCAAGAACGAAAGUUGGGGGAGCGAAGACGAUCAGAUACCGUCGUAGUCUUAACCAUAAACUAUGCCGACUAGGGAUCGGAUGAGGUUAAUUUUUUAAUGACUCAUUCGGCGCCUUACG
rnacentral:rRNA from 1 species